GGGCGUAAAGAGCUCGUAGGUCGUUUGCCGCGUCGAUUGUGAAAAUCUGAGGCUCAACCUCAGACCUGCAGUCGAUACGGGCAAACUAGAGUGUGGUAGGGGAGGCUGGAAUUCCUGGUGUAGCGGUGGAAUGCGCAGAUAUCAGGAGGAACACCAAUGGCGGAGGCAGGUCUCUGGGCCAUAACUGACACUGAGGAGCGAAAGCGCGGGGAGCGAACAGGAUUAGAUACCCUGGUAGUCCGCGCCGUAAACGAUGGGCACUAGCUGUGAGAGCCUUCCACGGUUCUCGCGACGCAGCAAACGCAUUAAGUGCCCCGCCUGGGGAGUACGAUCGCAAGAUUAAAACUCAAAGGAAUUGACGGGGCCCCGCACAAGCAGCGGAGCAUGCGGCUUAAUUCGACGCAACGCGAAGAACCUUACCAAGGCUUGACAUAUAGCGAAAAGUGGCAGAGAUGUCAUGUCCGCAAGGGCGCUAUACAGGUGGUGCAUGGUUGUCGUCAGCUCGUGUCGUGAGAUGUUGGGUUAAGUCCCGCAACGAGCGCAACCCUCGUUCUGUGUUACCAGCAUUAAGUUGGGGACUCACAGGAGACUGCCGGGGUCAACUCGGAGGAAGGUAUCUCUA
rnacentral:rRNA from 1 species